AAAUUGGAGAGCUUGAUCAUAGCUCAGAUUGAAUGCUGGCAGUAGGCCUAACACAUGCAAGUCGAGCGGUAGCACAAGAGAGCUUGCUCUCUGGGUGACGAGCGGCGGACGGGUGGGUAAUGUCUGGGAAACUGCCUGAUGGAGGGGGAUAACUACUGGAAACGGUAGCUAAUACCGCAUAACGUCGCAAGACCAAAGUGGAGGACCCUCGGGCCUCACGCCAUCAGAUGUGCCCAGAUGGGAUUAGCUAGUAGGUGGGGUAAUGGCUCACCUAGGCGACGAUCCCUAGCUGGUCUGAGAGGAUGACCAGUCACACUGGAACUGAGACACGGUCCAGACUCCUACGGGAGGCAGCAGUGGGGAAUAUUGCACAAUGAGCGCAAGCCUGAUGCAGCCAUGCCGCGUAUGUGAAGAAGGCCUUCGGGUUGUAAAGCACUUUCAGCGAGGAAGAAGGCAGCAAGGUUAAUAACCUUGCUGAUUAACGUCACUCGCAGAAGAAGCGCCGACUAAUUCCGUGCCAGCAGCCGCGGUAAUACGGAGGGUGCAAGCGUUAAUCGGAAUGACUGGGCGUAAAGCGCACGCAGGCGGUUUGUUAAGUUGGAUGUGAAAU
rnacentral:rRNA from 1 species